AGAUGGCACACAGAAUAAAGAAAGUCAAAGAAUGGAGUGAAAUGAGAGUUGUUGAGCUAUGCAAAAGGUUACACACCAUACAAAAAGUAUGGAACUCGUCGAUCAUGAGCCCAGUCUUUUUCAGUUCCAUUGAACCAACCCAUGGAGUGUGUAAGGUGUUGUUCAUCAGUGUCUGGCCAAUGUCUGUGCAGCUGGGGUUCAUCAGAAC